rnacentral:lncRNA from 1 species
GUGUUCCUCUUUCUCCACAUCCUCGCCAGCAUCUGCUGUCACCUGAAUUUUUGAUCUUAGCCAUUCUGACUGGUGUGAGGUGGAAUUUCAAGGUUGUUUUGAUUUACAUUUCCCUGAUGAUUAAGGAUGUUGAACGUUUUUUCAGGUGUUCCUCAGCCAUUCGGUAUUACUCAGUUGAGAAUUCUUUGUUUAGCUCUGUACCCCAUUUUUAAUGGGGUUAUUUGAAUUUCUGGAGUCCAGCUUCUUGAGUUCUUUAUAUAUAUUGGAUAUUAGUCCCCUAUCAGAUUUAGGAUUGGUAAAAAUCCUUUCCCAAUUUGUUGGUGGCCUUUUUGUCUUAUUGACAGUGUCUUUUGCCUUACAGAAGCUUUGCAAUUUUAUGAGAUCUGAUUUGUCAAUUCUUGAUCUUACAGCACCAGCCACUGCUGUUCUGUUUAGGAAUUUUCCCCCUGUGCCCAUAUCUUUGAGGCUUUUUUCCACUUUCUCCUCUAUUAAUUUCAGUGUCUCUGGUUUUAUGUGGAGUCUUUGAUCCACUUAGACUUGAGCUUUGUACAAAGAGAUAAGAAUGGAUCAAUUCGCAUUCUUCUACAAGAUAACUGCCAGUUGUGCCAACACCAUUUAUUGAAAAUGCUGUCUUUUUUCCACUGGAUGGUUUUAGCUCCCUUGUCAAAGAUCAAGCAACCAGAGGUGUGUGGAUUCAUUUCUGGGUCUUCAAUUCUAUUCCAUUGAUCUACCUGUCAUUGUACCAGCACCAUGCAGGUUUUUAUCACAAUUGCUCUGUAGUACAGCUUAAUGUCAGGCAUGGUGAUUCCACCAGAGGUUCUUUUAUUGUUGAGAAUAGUUUUUGCUAUCCUAGGUUUUUUAUUAUUCCAGAUGAAUUUGCAAAUUGCCCUUUCUAUCUCAGUGAAGAAUUCACUUGGAAUUUUGAUGGGAAUUGCGUUGAAUCUGUAGAUUGCUUUCGGCAGGAUAGCCAUUUUUACUAUAUUAAUCCUGCCAAUCCAUUAGCAUGGGAGAUCUUUCCAUCUUCUAAGAUCUUCUUCAAUUUCUUUCUUCAGAGACUUGAAGUUCUUAUCAUACAGAUCUUUCACUUCCUUAGUUAGAGUCACACCAAGGUAUUUUAUAUUAUUUGUGACUAUUGUGAAGGAUGUUGUUUCCCUAACUUCUUUUUCAGCCUGUUUAUCCUUUGUGUAGAGAAGCGCCAUUGAUUUGAUUGAAUUAAUUUUAUAUCCAGCUACUGCACUGAAGCUGUUUAUCAGGUUUAGUUCUCUGGUGGAAUUUUUAGGGUCACUUAUAUAUACCAUCAUAUCAUCUGCAAAUAGUGAUAUUUUGACUUCUUCCUUUCCAAUUUGUAUCCCAUUGAUCUCCUUUUGUUGUGGAAUUGCUCUGGCUAGAACUUCAAGUACUAUAUUGAAUAGGUAGGGAGAAAGUGGGCAACCUUGAUUUUAAUGGGAUUGCUUCCAGCUUCUCUCUAUUUUGUUUGAUGUUGGCUACUGGUUUGCUGUAUAUUGCUUUUAUUAUGCUUAGGUAUGGGCCUUGAAUUCCUGAUCUUUCCAAGACUUUUAUCAGGAAUGGGUGUUGAAUUUUUUCAAAUGCUUUCUCAGCAUCUAACGAGAUGAUCAUGUGGUUUUUGUCUUUGAGUUUGUUUAUAUAGUGGAUUACGUUGAUGGAUUUCUGUAUAUUAAACCAUCCUCGCAUCCCUGGGAUGAAGCCUACUUGGUCAUGAUGGAUGAUCGUUUUGAUGUGUUCUUGGAUUCGGUUUGCGAGGAUUUUAUUGAGUAUUUUUGCAUCGAUAUUCAUAAGGGAAAUUGGUCUGAAGUUCUCUUUCUUUGUUGGAUCUUUGUGUGGUUUAGGUAUCAGAGUAAUCAUGGCUUCAAAGAAUGAAUUGGGUAAAGUACCUUCUGUUUCUAUUUUGUGGAAUAGUUUGAGAAGGGUUAGAAUUAGGUCUUCUUUGAAGGUCUGGUAGAACUCUGCACUAAACCCAUCUGGUCCUGGGCUUCUUUUGGUUGGGAGACUAUUGAUGACUGCUUCUAUUUCUUUAGGGGAAAUGGGACUGUUUAGAUCAUUAAUCUGAUCCUGAUUUAACUUUGGUAGCUGGUAUCUGUCUAGGAAGUUGUCCAUUUCAUCCAGGUUUUCUACUUUUGUUGAAUAUAGCAUUUUGUAGUAGGAUCUGAUGAUGUUUUGGAUUUCCUCAGGUUCUGUUUUUUUUUUUAAACUGUUAAGAAAAUUUUUGUGGUUUUAUUGUAUCAUGAGGCAUUGAAACAUCUGAACAAAUCAAUAUCUGGGUGGUUGGUGAGGCAGCUGCUUUCUCCUUCACUUCUUUGGGUUACUAGAGCAACUUGUCAGUAGAUUAAAAAAAC